UACGUAGGGUGCGAGCGUUGCUCGGAAUUACUGGGCGUAAAGCGUGCGCAGGCGGUUCGUUGUGUCCGUCGUGAAAGCCCCGGGCUUAACCUGGGAACUGCGAUGGAAACUAGCGAGCUGGAGUGUGGCAGAGGGGGGUGGAAUUCCGCGUGUAGCAGUGAAAUGCGUAGAGAUGCGGAGGAACACCGAUGGCGAAGGCAGCCCCCUGGGCUAACACUGACGCUCAGGCACGAAAGCGUGGGGAGCAAACAGG
rnacentral:rRNA from 1 species